AAUGAACGCUGGCGGCGUGCCUAACACAUGCAAGUCGGAUGUGCCCGCAAGGGUGCAUGGCAGACGGGUGAGUAACGCGUGGGGAAUCUACCUUUUUGUGGGGAAUAACGUUCCGAAAGGAAUGGUAAUACCGCAUGAGACCCUUGGCUGGGAUGCUGAGGGUGAAAGCUGGGGACCGCAAGGCCUAGCGCAAGAAGAGGAUCCUGCGUCUGAUUAGCUAGUUGGCGGGGUAACGGCCCACCAAGGCAUCGAUCAGUAGCCGGCCUGAGAGGGUGAUCGGCCACACUGGAACUGAGACACGGUCCAGACUCCUACGGGAGGCAGCAGUGGGGAAUUUUGCGCAAUGGGCGAAAGCCUGACGCAGCAACGCCGCGUGGGUGAUGAAGGUCUCCGGAUCGUAAAACCCUGUCGUCAGGGACGAAGGUUGCAUGUUCAAUAAAUGUGCAGCUUGACGGUACCUGGAGAGGAAG
rnacentral:rRNA from 1 species